rnacentral:rRNA from 1 species
UACGGGGGGGGCAAGCGUUGUUCGGAAUUACUGGGCGUAAAGGGCUCGUAGGCGGCCAACUAAGUCAUACGUGAAAUCCCUCGGCUUAACCGGGGAACUGCGUCUGAUACUGGAUGGCUUGAGUUCGGGAGAGGGAUGCGGAAUUCCAGGUGUAGCGGUGAAAUGCGUAGAUAUCUGGAGGAACACCGGUGGCGAAGGCGGCAUCCUGGACCGAUACUGACGCUGAGGAGCGAAAGCCAGGGGAGCGAACAGG